rnacentral:lncRNA from 1 species
UUUUCAAAGUGCUUUUUAUAUUCAAAAUCUUUAUGCAGGUUGUUUCUCAAACCCAUUGAACAUAAUUAUCGGACGUCAUCUCCCAAUUUUGAAUUCCCUGUAUUCGAAGCGGAAGAAGAUGAUGCUUGAGGGGAUUCCUGACGAAAUUUCCCGACUUCUUGAGCAAGAAAAGAAGAUCAUUCGGCUGCAUCUCGAGAAUCAGCAGAACAGCCAACUGGGGCAUAACAAAAACAAAAACAAACGAUCAAAC